GAUGAACGCUGGCGGCGUGCCUAAUACAUGCAAGUCGAGCGAACAGACGAGGAGCUUGCUCCUCUGACGUUAGCGGCGGACGGGUGAGUAACACGUGGAUAACCUACCUAUAAGACUGGGAUAACUUCGGGAAACCGGAGCUAAUACCGGAUAAUAUAUUGAACCGCAUGGUUCAAUAGUGAAAGACGGUUUUGCUGUCACUUAUAGAUGGAUCCGCGCCGCAUUAGCUAGUUGGUAAGGUAACGGCUUACCAAGGCAACGAUGCGUAGCCGACCUGAGAGGGUGAUCGGCCACACUGGAACUGAGACACGGUCCAGACUCCUACGGGAGGCAGCAGGAGGGAAUCUUCCGCAAUGGGCGAAAGCCUGACGGAGCAACGCCGCGUGAGUGAGGAAGGUCUGCGGAUCGUAAAACUCUGUUAUUAGGGAAGAACAAAUGUGUAAGUAACUAUGCACGUCUUGACGGUACCUAAGCAGAAAGCCACGGCUAACUACGU
rnacentral:rRNA from 1 species